rnacentral:rRNA from 1 species
UACGUAGGGUGCGAGCGUUGUCCGGAAUUAUUGGGCGUAAAGAGCUCGUAGGCGGUGUGUCACGUCGUUCGUGAAAACCCGCAGCUUAACUGUGGGCGUGCGGUCGAUACGGGCAUCACUGGAGUUCGGCAGGGGAGACUGGAAUUCCUGGUGUAGCGGUGAAAUGCGCAGAUAUCAGGAGGAACACCGGUGGCGAAGGCGGGUCUCUGGGCCGAUACUGACGCUGAGGAGCGAAAGCGUGGGGAGCAAACAGG